rnacentral:rRNA from 1 species
CCUGCCCAAGAGAUCGGGAUAACACCUGGAAACAGAUGCUAAUACCGGAUAACAACAGAUGAUGCCUAUCAACUGUUUAAAAGAUGGUUCUGCUAUCACUCUUGGAUGGACCUGCGGUGCAUUAGCUAGUUGGUAGGGUAACGGCCUACCAAGGCGAUGAUGCAUAGCCGAGUUGAGAGACUGAUCGGCCACAUUGGGACUGAGACACGGCCCAAACUCCUACGGGAGGCAGCAGCC